GACGAACCGUGCAAACGUUAUUCGGAAUCACUGGGCUUAAAGCGCGUGUAGGCGGGACGGCACGUCGGUCGCUGAAAGCCCCCGGCUCAACCGGGGAAUGGGCGCCGAUACGACCGUCCUGGAGGAACGUAGGGGGACCUGGAACUUCCGGUGGAGCGGUGAAAUGCGUUGAGAUCGGAAGGAACGCCCGUGGCGAAAGCGAGGUCCUGGACGUUUUCUGACGCUGAUGCGCGAAAGCCAGGGGAGCGAACGGG
rnacentral:rRNA from 1 species